rnacentral:lncRNA from 1 species
GUAAUACCCUAUAAUUUAAGUUAAGGGCAAAUAAGUCAUUAGUUAUUUUUUUAAAAGGAAAAGAAGAGAGAGAUUGGGCUAAAAGCCCUAGGCAGCAACAACUGCUGUAAUUUUCAGGGAAGAAAAAAAAAAGGAGAAACAAACGCUAGUUACUGCGUUUUUGUUUCCAGCGAAGGACCACGAAAGAGAAGAAAGAACGGAAGGGUGAGGGAGAAGAAGGAGAAAGAGACUUAUUCGAAGGUUUCGCUUCCAGGUUCGAGGUAAAUCAUUGUUGCUUUUCUUCUCCUACAGCCCCUCCAAGAUUAUUAGUUAGGUCAUUCAAAGUAGGUGUUGAAAUCUAAUUACUAAAGGCUAAUAAUUGGGCAGCAAGGGUUGUACAGACGAUAAAUCAUAUAUAUAUUUCUAUCUAUUUUAUGAGUAUCAAGAUACAUGAUUGAUCAAUGGAUUUGGGCAUGAGAAUACCUAUAGAUAGAAGUAUAUUUUAUACUACUCCUACUGCCAGAUAUGCUCCCAGUAGCAUUAGUUGGAAUUACAUUGUAAUGCUGGGAUUGAGUUGUUGUUAAUUGUAGUAAUAGCCAAGAAAAUUGUUUGAGCAACCGCAAGAUAUGAAUACUUAGAGCUUUUAACUUGUUGCUGCUGAGAUUGAAGGAAUAUAUCGUUACAGAAUAAGAUACUUUAACAUAUUGAGAAUCAAACCUGAAACUUGAGGGUUGAAUAUUUUAAAUAGUUAUAGAAUUAGCUUAAACAUAGAAUCUAACUGGAAAUUGGUAUGAAUGUGAUUAUAGAUUGACCAAAGGGAUUCAAACGGAUUACUCGAGUUACGAACUUGGUAUUUCAGCACUAGUACUGUGAGUAGUAAUCUUACCACAAUUUGUAUUUCACAAAUUUCAUGAUUUUUACAUGGUUUAUAAAGUAAAUGUGUUGCUGAAUGUUUUGAACUUGCAUGUGGGACAAGUCUUUUACUUGAUAUGAUACUGAAAAUAUUAUUUGAGAUGAUCGCAUUCUUACAAGAUAUGAUUACUGGUAUUGAAAAGGUUUUACACUUAUUUGAGAAAUAGUAUUUUGAUAGGUGAUUGUUAAACUUUGAAAUGAAUGAUUUAAUAAGAUUUAAAUUCUCUGUUUGAUUUUGAAAUGCUUCUACUGAUUACAGGAAAAGUUUUAAAAGGGAGUAGAUCUUGAUGAAUCUCGUAGCUAACGGCGGGUUCGUUAGACCUGGUGCACCUUGUAGUUACUGAUUACUGAUAAAGACCUUGCUAGUCUGUUACUGAUAUCCCUCGAGUAGGGAUCUACUGAUAUGAAUACUUAACUCAUUUAUGAGGAGUUCACUAUUAUUGGUACUUCUUAAAGAGAAGGCCACACUGAUUACAUGAUUCAUCCUUGGAAACCUCCCAGCUAUAAGAUUUGAUAUGAAAAUAUUUUUUUGAGUUUACUAUUGAGUAUUUAUAUUGAUUUUGCUUAUAUGAGGCAAAUAAGAUUGAAUAUUGUUAUCGUUUCUGAAAAAGGCAGUUUUAUCGUUUUGACUAUCAUACUAGCAUGCUUUCUGACUUGUCCCUCACUAAAACAUUUGUGGUUAAGUGUUAUUACUCACUGAGCUAGCGUCUCACUCCUCACUAAUUGUUUUUACAAAAAACUCAGGUGGUAUUGAAGAGGAUUUCAUUAACUAGAGAGUGUGAUUUGGUAGCAUCUGGUGAGCCCCGCAUUGCUUCGCGUGGCAAGAGAACUAUUUAUUUGUUAUUGGUUUAUUUAGUUCCUUUAAAAACUCUUAGAGUCGCUCCAUUUUUUCAUUCCUUUGAUUUUGAGUCAUGAUUAGUCCUUCGUAUUAUAGUCAAGUGACUAGUUGGAACUUGUUUUCAUUAUUUGGAAAUGAAUUAGGUUUGUUAAGUGACAAUUAGAUCAUUGAAGGAUAUUAUGUUGUGGCUUAUAGUUGCUAUUGGUUGUGUUGUGAAUUUCAGCAACAGGAAAAGUCAGGAUAAACCUAAAAACAGAGGAAACUCUGCCCGAUUUUCUAUAGAUUUCUG